UGCAGUCGAACGAUGAAGCCCAGCUUGCUGGGUGGAUUAGUGGCGAACGGGUGAGUAACACGUGAGUAACCUGCCCUUGACUCUGGGAUAAGCGCUGGAAACGGCGUCUAAUACCGGAUAUGACAACCGACGGCAUCGUCUGGUUGUGGAAAGAAUUUUGGUCAAGGAUGGACUCGCGGCCUAUCAGCUUGUUGGUGAGGUAAUGGCUCACCAAGGCGACGACGGGUAGCCGGCCUGAGAGGGUGACCGGCCACACUGGGACUGAGACACGGCCCAGACUCCUACGGGAGGCAGCAGUGGGGAAUAUUGCACAAUGGGCGAAAGCCUGAUGCAGCAACGCCGCGUGAGGGACGACGGCCUUCGGGUUGUAAACCUCUUUUAGCAGGGAAGAAGCGAAAGUGACGGUACCUGCAGAAAAAGCACCGGCUAACUACGUGCCAGCAGCCGCGGUAAUACGUAGGGUGCAAGCGUUGUCCGGAAUUAUUGGGCGUAAAGAGCUCGUAGGCGGUUUGUCGCGUCUGCUGUGAAAUCCCGAGGCUCAACCUCGGGUCUGCAGUGGGUACGGGCAGACUAGAGUGCGGUAGGGGAGAUUGGAAUUCCUGGUGUAGCGGUGGAAUGCGCAGAUAUCAGGAGGAACACCGAUGGCGAAGGCAGAUCUCUGGGCCGUAACUGACGCUGAGGAGCGAAAGGGUGGGGAGCAAACAGGCUUAGAUACCCUGGUAGUCCACCCCGUAAACGUUGGGAACUA
rnacentral:rRNA from 1 species